UACGGGGGGAGCAAGCGUUGUUCGGAUUUACUGGGCGUAAAGGGCGCGUAGGCGGCCACCGCAAGUCGACUGUGGAAUCUCCGGGCUUAACCCGGAAAGGUCAGCCGAUACUGCGGGGCUAGAGUGCAGAAGGGGCACUGGAAUCUCGGUGUAGCGGUGAAAUGCGUAGAUAUUGGGAGGAACACCAGUGGCGAAGGCGGCUCACUGGACCGGAACUGACGCUGAGGCGCGAAAGCGUGGGGAGCAAACAGGG
rnacentral:rRNA from 1 species